rnacentral:rRNA from 1 species
GAUGAACGCUGGCGGCGUGCCUAAUACAUGCAAGUCGAGCGAACAGACGAGGAUCUUGCUCCUCUGACGUUAGCGGCGGACGGGUGAGUAACACGUGGAUAACCUACCUCUAAGACUGGGAUAACUUCGGGAAACCGGAGCUAAUACCGGAUAAUAUAUUGAACCGCAUGGUUCAAUAGUGAAAGACGGUUUUGCUGUCACUUAUAGAUGGAUCCGCGCCGCAUUAGCUAGUUGGUAAGGUAACGGCUCACCAAGGCAACGAUGCGUAGCCGACCUGAGAGGGGGAUCGGCCACACGGGAACUGAGACACGGUCCAGACUCCUACGGGAGGCAGCAGUAGGGAAUCUUCCGCAAUGGGCGAAAGCCUGACGGAGCAACGCCGCGUGAGUGAUGAAGGUCUUCGGAUCGGAAAACUCUGUUAUUAGGGAAGAACAAAUGUGUAAGUAACUAUGCACGUCUUGACGGUACCUAAUCAGAAAGCCACGGCUAACUACGUG